rnacentral:rRNA from 1 species
UACGAGUGCUCCAAGCGUUAUCCGGAAUCAUUGGGCGUAAAGGGUGUGUAGGUGGUUGUGUUAGUCUUUUGUUAAAUUCUUCGGCUUAACCGGGGGCAUGCAAAAGAAACGGCACGACUAGAGGAUGCGAGAGGCACAUGGAACUCAUGGAGUAGGGGUGAAAUCCGUUGAUAUCAUGGGGAACACCGAAAGCGAAGGCAGCUCGCUGGGACGUGACUGACGCUGAGACGCGAAAGCGUGGGGAGCAAACAGG